CCUACGGGAGGCAGCAGUGGGGAAUAUUGCGCAAUGGGCGAAAGCCUGACGCAGCGACGCCGCGUGAGGGAUGAAGGUCUUCGGAUCGGAAACCUCUGUCAGCAGGGAAGAACGGUCACGGAGCUAAGCAGCAGUGAAUGGACGGUACCUGCAAAGGAAGCACAGGCUACCUCCGUGCCAGCAGCCUCGGUAAUACGGAGGGUGCGCGCGUUCAUCGGAAGUACUGGGCGUAACGCGCUCGUAGGCGGUAUGUCAAGUCAAGGGUGAAAUCCCCGCGCUCAACGUGGGAACUGCCUUUGAAACUGGCACACUGGAGUGUGUGAGAGGUUAGUGGACUUCCAGGUGU
rnacentral:rRNA from 1 species